rnacentral:rRNA from 1 species
GACGAACGCUGGCGGUGUGCUUAACACAUGCGAGUGGUGCGACGAACCAGAGCUUGCUCUGGGGCAAAGCCGCGAACGGGUGAGUAACACGUGGGUAAUCUACCCCGAUGACCGGGACAACCCGAGGAAACUCGGGCUAAUACCGGAUGUGGUGCGGAGACAUAAGUCUCUUCACUAAAGGUAGCUUCGGCUUCCGCAUUGGGAGGGGCCCGCGGCCCAUUAGCUUGUUGGUGGGGUCAAGGCCUACCAAGGCAACGAUGGGUAGCUGGUCUGAGAGGACGAUCAGCCACACUGGGACUGAGACACGGCCCAGACUCCUACGGGAGGCAGCAGUGGGGAAUCUUGCGCAAUGCGCGAAAGCGUGACGCAGCAACACCGCGUGAGGGAAGAAGGCCUUAGGGUUGUAAACCUCUUUCAGAUGGGACGAAGGUUCUCCGGUGAAUAGCCGAGAGGAUUGACGGUACCGUCAGAAGAAGCUCCGGCUAACUACGUG